AGAUAUGGUCAGUCGUUGAAUUUGUAGAAUUUGAUGAAAUUGAAGUUGUACCAACUUCAUGGCUGGAAUUUAAGAAAGACCACGUUGUAUGUAAAUGGCCGCCUAAAAAUCUUAGAAAAUGUAUUCGGAACAAUGUACAACUAAACAGCAACUGGGAUAUGCACACAGUACACAUUCUUAUUCAAAUUGACUCCUAGAGAAGGCAUUAAAUUAUGCAAAAAAAAAAAAUCAAAUACAGAUACCGAAACAUCAUGUUUUGAGCUGGGAAAAGGUAAACGUAAAAGAAAGUAUAAAAGCCAAGAUGUCCACUCUGACAGUUCCGAUUCAUUAAGAAUGACACCGCCUCCUUCGAUAAUUCAACAUGAUUUACGGACAAAAGAACCAAACAAUAAUAAUAUAACUACCGGAAAAGAUAUUACUAUAAAUGAAGAAGAGGGUGCAAAUUUCAAUACAAAUAAUAUCUCUUCAACCAAAAUAAUGGAUAAAUCCGACAAAGAAAAUAGAAAAUACAAUUGCUGCUGUGACAAACAGAGAUGAGAAUUCUAUAGUGGGUGAUAUUAUUGAAGAUUUACGAACAGAAAGUAAUAUUGCUGCUGUGAUGACGAAUGAAGACGGAAAUUCUACAAUGAGUAAUAUUAUUAUUGA